AUGGGUAACGAUGCGAGGGUGACUGUUGAUGUGUGCAGAGGGUCCCUGGUUCGCGCCCGGUGCUCUUGUGCCGGGGGAAAGCUUUUAGCGAUUUCACCGGACCAGACUGUCGGUUUCUGCCAUUUAAAAAAGGAGAGACUAUAUAUGUCUACUAUAAACUCUCAAGCCAGAGGACAAAUAUAUGGGCAGGGAGUGUUGGUAACAGCUUUGGUUACUUCAAUAAGGACCAACUCGUAAUCAAUCACAUAUACACUGAAAAAGAAUUGGAGAUUCCUGCUGAGGAAACCGACUUUGUUUGCUUUGACACUGGACACGAUAAGUUUGACAGUUAUGACAUUGAUUUACUGUUAGGUUCCUCUUUAUUGUUAACAGACAAGGAGGAAUAUGUGCAAGUAACCACAGAGACUUUUUACCUUAACAAAAGUGCUGAGAGCACCACGGUGGAAGUGGAUGAGCCUCCACCUGAAGUGACAUUGUUAGAAAAUGAUGAGAUUGAUAGGGAUGUUCCUGAGGACAUUGAUAAGGUUGUAGAGGUUCUAGAUAAUGAUGAUCUGAGACAUUUUGAGGCUUUAGAGUCCUCUCUGCCUCACCCUGAAACUCUUGACACAAAGGGAGUGGAAUAUAACACUGUACUUGAGACCACAGCUGAGAGGAUCAAAGAUUACCUUCAGAAAGAUCAGCAGAGGACAGAGGACUCUGUGCCGUACAGUGUUGUUGAACCAGGGGAAGGUGAGAUCAAAGAAACCCCCUCAGAACCUCUAUCCAAAGAUGAUCCUGAGUUAGAAAAUGCACCUGAUGGUUUUUCAGAAGGCAGACCUAUUCCGGAGUUAAAAACCACACUUGGAAUAACUUUUGAUGCUGUCACUUCCAAUGAUGAGGACACUUGGAAGGUGACUCCAUAUGAUAAGGAAAGUGACAAGACUGAAUAUCAGCAGGAUGAGGAAAGUGAUUAUCAUCUCAGGGAAACUCCAUUGCUGGCUUUUUCUGAAGAAAGUUCUAAUUUGGAACACGAGAACAUUCUGGAAUCUGAUCAUACAGAUGAGGAAGACAGUCUAUCAGAGGUACCUCAUACACAGAAACAGGACUCCAAGGACAAUAACCUGUGGUCUGCAUUUGGUGAUACAGUUUUUAACGUUGUCAGUGGUGGGGAAAGAAUAGCUCAUGUUGCCAGUUCAGAGGAAAAUGAGGAGGAUGACGAAGGUGAGAUUA